rnacentral:rRNA from 1 species
CCAAUAGCGUAUAUUAAAGUUGUUGCAGUUAAAAAGCUCGUAGUUGAAUUUCGGGAUUGACGUAAUGGUCAUGCCUCAAGGGGUAUGAACUGUUACUGUUGAUUUCUCACCUUCUGGAGAAACUUGAUGUCCUUUAUUGGGUGUCUUGCGGAUCCAGGACCUUUACCUUGAAAAAAUUAGAGUGUUUAAAGCAGGCAUUUUUGCCCGAAUACAUUAGCAUGGAAUAAUAGAAUAGGACGGCAUGGUUCUAUUUUGUUGGUUUCUAGGAUCACCGUAAUGAUUAAUAGGGAUAGUUGGGGGCAUUAGUAUUCAAUUGUCAGAGGUGAAAUUCUUGGAUUUAUUGAAGACUAACUACUGCGAAAGCAUUUGCCAAGGAUGUUUUCAUUAAUCAAGAACGAAAGUUAGGGGAUCGAAGACGAUCAGAUACCGUCGUAGUCUUAACCAUAAACUAUGCCGACUAGGAAUCAGACGAUGUUAAUUUUUUAAUGACUCGUUUGGCACCUUACG